rnacentral:rRNA from 1 species
UACGUAGGUGGCAAGCGUUGUCCGGAUUUACUGGGCGUAAAGGGAGCGUAGGUGGCUAUUUAAGUGGGAUGUGAAAUACUCGGGCUUAACCUGGGUGCUGCAUUCCAAACUGGAUAUCUAGAGUGCAGGAGAGGAAAGUAGAAUUCCUAGUGUAGCGGUGAAAUGCGUAGAGAUUAGGAAGAAUACCAGUGGCGAAGGCGACUUUCUGGACUGUAACUGACACUGAGGCUCGAAAGCGUGGGGAGCAAACAGG